AUUGAACGCUGGCGGCAUGCUUUACACAUGCAAGUCGAACGGUAACAGGCCGCAAGGUGCUGACGAGUGGCGAACGGGUGAGUAAUGCAUCGGAACGUGCCCAGUCGGGGGGGAUAACGCAGCGAAAGCUGCGCUAAUACCGCAUACGAUCUAUGGAUGAAAGCGGGGGACCGUAAGGCCUAACGCGAUUGGAGCGGCCGAUGUCAGAUUAGGUAGUUGGUGGGGUAAAGGCUAACCAAGCCAACGAGCUGUAGCUGGUCUUAGAGGACGACCAGCCACACUGUGACUGAGACACGGCCCAGACUCCUACGUGAGUCAGCAGUGGAGAAUUUUGCACAAUGGCCGCAAGCCUGAUCCAGCAAUGCCGCGUGCAGGAAGAAGGCCUUCGGGUUGUAAACUGCUUUUGUACGGAACGAAACGGCUCUGGUUAAUACCUGGGGCUAAUGACGGUACCGUAAGAAUAAGCACCGGCUAACUACGUGCCAGCCGCCGCCGUAAUAC
rnacentral:rRNA from 1 species